rnacentral:rRNA from 1 species
UACGGGGGGAGCAAGCGUUGUUCGGAUUUACUGGGCGUAAAGGGCGCGUAGGCGGUCAGCACAAGUCAGUUGUGAAAUCUCCGGGCUUAACUCGGAAAGGUCAACUGAUACUGUGCGACUAGAGUGCAGAAGGGGCAACUGGAAUUCUCGGUGUAGCAGUGAAAUGCGUAGAUAUCGAGAGGAACACCAGUGGCGAAGGCGAGUCUCUGGACGACUCCUGACACUGAGGCACGAAAGCUGGGGGAGCAAACAGG